rnacentral:rRNA from 1 species
CAACGUGGGGUAACCUGCCCUGAUGAUCGGGACAACUCGAGGAAACUCGGGCUAAUACCGAAUGUGCCCUCCAGCCUCAAGGCUGACGGGGAAAGGAAGCUUCGGCCUCCGCAUCGGGAUGGGCCCGCGGCCCAUUAGCUAGUUGGUGGGGUAAUGGCCUACCAAGGCGACGAUGGGUAGCUGGUCUGAGAGGACGAUCAGCCACACUGGGACUGAGACACGGCCCAG